rnacentral:snoRNA from 1 species
CAUUGUGGAUGAGGAGAAUGAAUUAAACAGUUAUCCCUGUCUGAUUCCUAAGGGCUGAUACCUUUAAAUUCUGACACUACA